UACAGAGGGUGCGAGCGUUAAUCGGAAUUACUGAGCGUAAAGCGUGCGCAGGCGGUUCGUUGUGUCGGUGGUGAAAUCCCCGGGCUUAACCUGGGAAUGGCCAUGGAAACUGGCGAACUGGAGUGUGGCAGAGGGGGGUGGAAUUCCGCGUGUAGCAGUGAAAUGCGUAGAUAUUCGCAAGAACACCAGUGGCGAAGGCGGCUUACUGGUCCGGUUCUGACGCUGAGGCGCGAAAGCGUGGGGAGCGAACCGG
rnacentral:rRNA from 1 species